AAGACUAUACUUUUAGUGAGCAUUUCUAUAGUUUCUUACUAGAGAAGUUUCUCUGAUCAUGUAGAAUACCUGAAAACACAAGGAGGAGGCGUAGUGCUCCCUUCUGAGUAUAUGGCUGGCUUUUGUUGUUGCUUUGCUGCAACUGCCUGUUGCCAUUGAUGAUCCUUCUUCUCUCCGUUUUGGAGAGCAAGAAGAAAGGAACACAGUCUGCAUGGU
rnacentral:snoRNA from 1 species